UACGUAGGGCGCAAGCGUUAUCCGGAAUUAUUGGGCGUAAAGAGCUCGUAGGCGGUUUGUCGCGUCUGCCGUGAAAGUCCGGGGCUCAACUCCGGAUCUGCGGUGGGUACGGGCAGACUAGAGUGAUGUAGGGGAGACUGGAAUUCCUGGUGUAGCGGUGAAAUGCGCAGAUAUCAGGAGGAACACCGAUGGCGAAGGCAGGUCUCUGGGCAUUAACUGACGCUGAGGAGCGAAAGCGUGGGGAGCGAACAGG
rnacentral:rRNA from 1 species